CCUACGGGUGGCUGCAGUAAGGAAUAUUGGUCAAUGGACGCAAGUCUGAACCAGCCAUGCCGCGUGGAGGAUGAAGGUCCUCUGGAUUGUAAACUUCUUUUAUUUGGGAAGAAACUCCCGAUUUCCAUCGGGAUUGACGGUACCAGCUGAAUAAGCACCGGCUAACUCCGUGCCAGCAGCCGCGUUCAUCCGGAGGGUGCAAGCGUUAUCGGUUUUAACGGGGUUUAAGGGGUGCGGUAAGUCAGUGGUAAAAUCUCCGGGCUUAACCCGGAAACUGCCAUUGAUACUAUUUGUCUUGAAUACUCUGGAGGUGAGCGGAAUAUGUCAUGUAGCGGUGAAAUGCUUAGAUAUGACAUAGAACACCCAUUGCGAAGGCAGCUCACUACGGAAAUAUUGACGCUGAGGCACGAAAGCGUGGGGAUCAAACAGGAUUAGAUACCCCGGUAGUC
rnacentral:rRNA from 1 species